AGUCGACGGAGUGCUUCGGCACUUAGUGGCGGACGGGUGAGUAACGCGUGAGGAUCUGGCCUUAGGAGGGGGACAACCAUUGGAAACGAUGGCUAAUACCCCAUGAGCCGAGAGGUAAAAGAUUUAUCGCCUAAGGAUGAGCUCGCGUCUGAUUAGCUAGUUGGUGGGGUAAGGGCCUACCAAGGCAAUGAUCAGUAGCUGUUCUGAGAGGAUGAUCAGCCACACUGGGACUGAGACACGGCCCAGACUCCUACGGGAGGCAGCAGUGGGGAAUUUUCCGCAAUGGGGGCAACCCUGACGGAGCAACGCCGCGUGGGGGAAGAAGGUCUGUGGAUUGGAGACCCCUUUUCGCUGGGAAGAAGAAUUGACCGUACCAGAAGAAUCAGCCUCCGCUAACUCCGUGCCAGCAACCGCGGUAAGAAACGAGGAUGCUAUCGUUAUCCGGAAUUAGUGGG
rnacentral:rRNA from 1 species